GGAAAAGUUUCCCCCCCGGCCGAGCUCCUCCCGCUGCGGGGGGGCUGCCCGCCGUUCGCUCUCUUUCCUCUGGCCCGGGAAAUGGAGGGUGGCAGCGCUGGGGAAGCGGUGUGGAGCAGGGGAGAGCUGAGGGAUGGGGUAGGGAAAAGGGAUCCUCUGGGAGCUGAAGUGAUGAACCGAGGGCUGAAGAAGGAGUUGAGAGUGAAGGGAAGAACUGAGGGGCCGGGGAUGAGCAGGGGGAUAGGGAUGAGCUGGCGGUUACGCAGAGUCGCAGUAGGGGGUAGGAAGCUGCUGUAGGGGUUGGAAGGGACCUCUGAGUCCAAUUCUGUCCGUUGGCAGGUUCCUGCAGUGGGUGAGGAACUGAGGAUAAAGGGAAGAGCUGAGGGACGAGCUGGGGGUAACGGCUCAGGGAACAGUGGGGGGUUCUGUGAGGAGCUGAGUUAGUAGGAGUUACGUGAUGAGGGAUGAACUGAGGGGUGAUGUGGGCUGAGAGGUGAGUUCGGGGUUAUGGGAUGAACAGAGAGUUGAGAAAGAAGCAGAGGGGCGAUGUGGGGGUCAGGGACAGGCUGAGGAGAUCUGCGAAGUGAGGGCGGAGGGACAGGCUGUGUGACAGGCUGGUGACACUGAGAUGCAGCUGGCACCCAGAGCAGUGCAGGGGCUGAGGACGGAGGCCAGAGUCAUGGAGGAGACCCUUCCCCUUCAUAACACCCUGCUCUGCAUCCAUCUAUCUCACCAAGGCCUCACCUGACCUCUGCCACACAGGGGUCAUCAAGAUUCUCACCCUGCUUAUGUGCUUAUGUACAGCCACUUAGUGUCACUCUGCAUGCGCACUGCAGGUGUCUUCCUGGGAAA
rnacentral:lncRNA from 1 species